AUCGCGCUUAGUUAGGAGGCUUAUAUCGAAUAUGUUCCUGUCUCUAGAUUAAAACGUGAAUCUUCAUCGAUUAACUUUUUAUUUUGGAUCUGGAACUACUGAGACCUCUUGAGGAGUUCAUUUGUUUUACCAUCAAUUUUCUCCCAAGCAGUCUCAGAUAUUU